rnacentral:rRNA from 1 species
UACGUAGGGGGCGAGCGUUGUCCGGAUUUAUUGGGCGUAAAGAGCGUGUAGGCGGCUCGGUCGGUCUGCUGUGAAAACUCGAGGCUCAACCUCGAGACGUCGGCGGAAACCAUCUGGCUAGAGUCCGGAAGAGGAGAGUGGAUUUCCUGGUGUAGCGGUGAAAUGCGCAGAUAUCAGGAAGAACACCCGUGGCGAAGGCGGCCUUCUGGACCAGGACUGACGCUCAUGCACGAAAGCGUGGGGAGCAAACAGG